GCGAAGGUGGCGGAAUUGGUAGACGCGCUAGCUUCAGGUGUUAGUGUCCUUGACGGAGGGUGGGUCAAGUCCCCCCCCUCGCACCA
rnacentral:tRNA from 1 species